UACGAAGGGGGCUAGCGUUGCUCGGAAUCACUGGGCGUAAAGGGGUGCGUAGGCGGGUUUUUAAGUCAGGGGGUGAAAUCCCGGGGCUCAACCCCCGGAACUGCCUUUGAUACUGGGUGUCUCGAGGCCAGAAGAGGUGAGUGGAAUUCCGAGUGUAGAGGUGAAAUUCGUAGAUAUACGGAGGAACACCAGUGGCGAAGGCGGCUCACUGGUCCGGUACUGACGCUGAGGUGCGAAAGCGUGGGGAGCAAACAGG
rnacentral:rRNA from 1 species